AACGGCCAUACCAUGCUGAAUAUACCGGUUCUCGUUCGAUCACCGAAGUCAAGCAUCAUCGGGCGCGGUCAGUACUUGGGAGGGU